CUCAAAGAAUUUGGCGGUAUCUUAUUCCUUUCAGAGGAAUCUGCCCCGUGAUCGAUAAUCCGCGUUGGACCUUACUUGGAGUUUGUUUGUAUACCGCCGUUAUAGUGAAGAUCUUUUUAGUGCUGUUAAUUUUCUGGUCUCUUUAUUGGGAUUUAUUUCAGGUCAAGGUGCAAUUUAUUUUUAAGUGUGAGGUGGAUUACAAUAUGUUGUUGAGUUUUGGAUUAUUGAUUGAAAGUUUGUUGAUAUGAAGUUGGAUUUGGUUGUAAUUUGUUGAAGAUUGUUUUAAUGAUGUUGGUUCUAGGAUAUGUACACAUCGCCC
rnacentral:rRNA from 1 species